AUGAACAUGUUUUUUCACCACUUCAUAUGCCACAACACGAGAUUUACUGAAAUUGUGUUUUCUUCAACUUUGAGGAUCUCUAAUUUAUUGAUGUUUUUUUACAUGAUUGUAGCCUACUCUGGAAAUGGUUCAUUUACAGAAGAGGUAAAACUAGAAUAUGAUCAUUGUUGUUACUUCAAUUUUUUGAGUAUUAAAUCUUCAAUCUAUUCCACUUACUAUUUGAUUUGCUUGUUUAGUUUCCAGUUACACCCUGGAUUUUGCAAGGGAUGCUUCAUUCAUUGA